ACAACGGAUCUCUUGGCUCUCGCAUCGAUGAAGAACGCAGCGAAAUGCGAUAACUAAUGCGAUAACUAAUGUGAAUUGCAGAAUUCAGUGAAUCAUCGAGUCUUUGAACGCACCUUGCGCCCUUUGGUACUCCGAAGGGCAUGCCUGUUUGAGUGUCAGUAACU
rnacentral:rRNA from 1 species